rnacentral:rRNA from 1 species
GUCAACCUACGGGGGGCAGCAGUCGAGAAUCAUUCACAAUGGGGGAAACCCUGAUGGUGCGACGCCGCGUGGGGGAAUGAAGGUCUUCGGAUUGUAAACCCCUGUCAUGUGGGAGCAAAUUAAAAAGAUAGUACCACAAGAGGAAGAGACGGCUAACUCUGUGCAAGCAGCCGCGGUAAUACAGAGGUCUCAAGCGUUGUUCGGAAUCACUGGGCGUAAAGCGUGCGUAGGCUGUUUCGUAAGUCGGGGGUGAAAGGCGCGGGCUCAACCCGCGGACGGAAAAUGAUACUGCGAG